rnacentral:rRNA from 1 species
UAACGCGUGGAUAACCUGCCGUAUACCGGGGGAUAACACUUAGAAAUAGGUGCUAAUACCGCAUGAGCGCACAGCUCCGCAUGGGGCGGUGUGAAAAACUCCGGUGGUAUACNAUGGAUCCGCGUCUGAUUAGCCAGUUGGCGGGGUAACGGCCCACCAAAGCGACGAUCAGUAGCCGGCCUGAGAGGGUGAACGGCCACAUUGGGACUGAGACACGGCCCAGACUCCUACGGGAGGCAGCAGUGGGGAAUAUUGCACAAUGGGGGAAACCCUGAUGCAGCGACGCCGCGUGAGUGAAGAAGUAUCUCGGUAUGUAAAGCUCUAUCAGCAGGAAAGAUAAUGACGGUACCUGACUNAGAAGCCCCGGCUAACUACGUGCCAGCAGCCGCGGUNAUACGUAGGGGGCAAGCGUUAUCCGGAUUUACUGGNUGUAAAGGGAGCGUANANNGCAGCGCAAGUCUGGAGUGAAAUGCCGGNGCCCAACCCCGGAACUGCUUUGGAAACUGUGCGGCUCGAGUGCGGGAGAGGUAGGCGGAAUUCCUAGUGUAGCGGNGAAAUGCGUAGAUAUUAGGAGGAACACCAGUGGCGAAGGCGGCUUACUGGACCGUNACUGACGUUGAGGCUCGAAAGNGUGGG